AUUGAACGCUGGCGGCAUGCCUUACACAUGCAAGUCGAACGGCAGCACGGGUGCUUGCACCUGGUGGCGAGUGGCGAACGGGUGAGUAAUAUAUCGGAACGUACCUUAUUGUGGGGGAUAACGCAGCGAAAGCUGUGCUAAUACCGCAUAAUCCCUAAGGGGGAAAGCGGGGGACCGUAAGGCCUCGCGCAAUUAGAGCGGCCGAUACCUGAUUAGCUAGUUGGUGAGGUAAAGGCUCACCAAGGCAACGAUCAGUAGCUGGUCGGAGAGGACGAUCGGCCACACUGGGACUUGGACACGGGCCAGACUCCUACGGGAGGCAGCGGUGGGGAAUUUUGGACAAUGGGGGCAACCCUGAUCCAGCAAUGCCGCGUGAGUGAAGAAGGCCUUCGGGUUGUAAAGCUCUUUUGUCAGGGAAGAAACAGCAGCUCUAACACAGUUUGCGAAUGACGGUACCUGAGGAAUAAGCACCGGCUAACUACGUGCCAGCAGCCGCCGUAA
rnacentral:rRNA from 1 species